AUUGAACGCUGGCGGCAGGCCUAACACAUGCAAGUCGAACGAGUGGCGGACGGGUGAGUAAUGUCUGGGAAACUGCCUGAUGGAGGGGGAUAACUACUGGAAACGGUAGCUAAUACCGCAUACCAUCAGAUGUGCCCAGAUGGGAUUAGCUAGUUGGUGGGGUAACGGCUCACAAAGGCGACGAGCCCUCGCUGGUCUGAGAGGAUGACCAGCCACACUGGAACGCAGACACGGUCCAGACUCCGACGUGAGGCAGCAGUUGGGAAGAGUGCAAAAUGGGCGCAAGCCUGAUGCAGCAAUGCCGCGUGUAUGAAGAAGGCCGUCGGGUUGUAAAGUACUUUCAGCGGGGAGGCGUUACCCGCAGAAGAAGCACCGGCUAACUCCGUGCCAGCAGCCGCGGUAAUAC
rnacentral:rRNA from 1 species